GAUAUUAUGCACACCCCUGGCAGAUUAAGGUUUGAAGCAAACUUUUAAUUCGACCUGAACCCGAUGGAGAACCCGUGGAGGGAGCUGAACCUUCGGCUGAUGCUCCCCUGACUCUACUGAUCCCCACAGCAUGAGGCUGCCAAUGCCAUGUUCACCAUGGGAAUGCCCGUCCACCCGUCUCCUCAGCUUCUGGGUCUGAUGUGCACGGCGGAGCAGAAAGGGACGCAGACAGAGCGAGGGCCCUCCCAUGU